GCGGGUGUAGUUCAAUGGUAGAACACUAGCCUUCCAAGCUGGUUGCGUGGGUCCGAUUCCCAUCACCCGCUCCA
rnacentral:tRNA from 5 species